CCUACGGGGGGCUGCAGUCGAGAAUCAUUCACAAUGGGGGAAACCCUGAUGGUGCGACGCCGCGUGGGGGAAUGAAGGUCUUCGGAUUGUAAACCCCUGUCAUGUGGGAGCAAAUUAAAAAGAUCGUACCACACGAGGAAGAGACGGCUAACUCUGUGCCAGCAGCCGCGGUAAUACAGAGGUCUCAAGCGUUGUUCGGAAUCACUGGGCGUAAAGCGUGCGUAGGCUGUUUCGUAAGUCGUGUGUGAAAGGCGCGGGCUCAACCCGCGGACGGCACAUGAUACUGCGAGACUAGAGUAAUGGAGGGGGAACCGGAAUUCUCGGUGUAGCAGUGAAAUGCGUAGAUAGCGAGAGGAACACUCGUGGCGAAGGCGGGUUCCUGGACAUUAACUGACGCUGAGGCACGAAGGCCAGGGGAGCGAAAGGGAUUAGAUACCCCAGUAGUC
rnacentral:rRNA from 1 species